ensembl:lncRNA
AGCACAUUUGAUGGAUGAACAAAUGGACAGGACAGAUAAGAUGGCUAGACACUCAGAAAUAAAUAGAUCCAUUUGCUUGAUAGUGUCAGCAGAUGAUCCACUUUGCUGAGAAGACUCAUCUGGCUCGACUGUGUAUGACUGAUUGGAAUGGGGCAAGACUGGAGGCAGAGAGGCCCAAUGGAAGUAUUGCGACCUGAACCAAGUCACGAUGGGAAAGGAAGAAAGGAUGGCUUCAAGAGAUAAUGAAAUCGAGUCUCAGAGUGGUGAAGUGACUUGCAGAAGAUUUCAGCUAAUAGUUCCUAACUGGGCCUCAGAACCACAUCUUCUGUCUCUAGGACCCAAGCUCUUUGUAUAACACCAGAUGGCUUCCUGGUCUCCAGGAGAAGAUCUACUCCAGAAGCUUUGCAAUGUUUCCUUCCUGGAUUAUACAUGUUUUCAAGAGGUCUUCUCAGUGGACCCUCUAUCUGUGUCUGAGACCAGAACACUCAAGGGCCUGUAGGAGUCCUCUCUCCACAGACCCUUGAUUCACAGUUGCUUUCCCAAGAUCCUCACCCAUUUUCACAUCAAGGUCCUGUCCUACAUCAGUGCAACUUCACCAAGGCCACAUUCUGGUCCUUGAGGCAUCUCUCUUGUUGUUAUGACCUUCUCACGCUCCCUGUGCACCCACAAGAUUCUUGGCUGGACAACUAUAUAUCAUAGUCUGGCAAGCCCUGAGAUAUUUCUAAAUUUAGCCUAAUAUUUAUAUUUCUCUUCUAUAUCCUAGAAAUGUCAUUGCAUGUACUAAGCAGCUUUCUGGAGCCCAACUUCAAAUCAGGCAUACACACCUUUCUUGACUUAUGUGGGGGUUACAUCCUGAUAGAUCCAUCAUACAUUGAAAAUAUCAUAAGCUGAAAAUGUAUUUAAUACACUUAACCUACUAAACAUCAUAGCUUAGCCUAACCUACCUUAAAUGUGCUCAGAAAACUUACAUUAGCCUACAGUUGGGCAAAAUCAUCUAACACAAAGCCUAUUUU